AGUUAUCAGAACAAGGCAUUAUGACUGGAACAUGAAGGCAAGCAAUGCAGAGGAAGAAAAAUUAUCUUUUAUGGUGAACUCUGCGGACAUCCCAAUACUUUUUCAGAUGCCCCCAGUUAAGUCAACAAUGGAACUUUCCAAGAAGAGGGAAGAGGACAUAUGGAAACAUAUCCGCCCAUUUUUAGAUGAGGAAAAGGUAGAUCCUCUCAGCAUGAUCUGACCAAUGCGGUGAUGUCUUUUAAGGCAAGCGCACACCUUACGGCCCGAUCCGGCGUCACAGCUCUUGUCAGCUUGAGAGUCGCAGACCGGUCAGAGACAAGUCGCAAGGAAAACCGUAAGGAUUUUAGGCUCAAUCCAACUUCCAACCAAUCAGACAGCAGAGUUGCACGACGCGUAUAUGAUAUACAACAUGCUUACGCUGUAUUACUGAAGAGGAAGAAGAAUCAGGAGCUAAGAGUCUAAUGAUGUCAAGAAGAUCAACUUGUAAAGAGACCAUUGUACUGUGCAACGUGGACUUCAGUGAUCUAGCGGUGAAGAUCGGAUCGGAGUGGCAACACCUUGGUAUCAGGCUCGGGUUAAAUCCAGAAAAUAUUUUUCAUAUCAAGGAGGACAAUCCAACGGCGGUAAAUCGUAUAAUUGCAAUGCUAGAACUGUGGAACCAACAAUCAUCUUGUGAGGGAAAUAAGAUACAGAUGGUGAAGGAUCUAUGUAGUGCACUGACAAGAUGCAACAGGGCAGAUCUUGCAAAUUAUAUAGAAACACUGCAGGACUAAGUUAACUAACAUUUGGACAACAGUACUUGGAUGUAUUUUCUUAAUAAUGUCAAUAACUCUUGGCUUUGUGACAAGUUGAUUGCGGAGUACGAAAUGUGAUGGCCAAUGAAAGUUCUUCAUUGAUUUUCAAUAAAGUUUUAUUUUCCUUUUCAAUCUCUAAUAGGUAAAGAGUAAUGCCUUUAAGUACACAUCCAGUCAUAGACGAGUCUAUUAAAAUGAUAACAUGCAUUCGACAGAAAUUAUAAUAUCCAGUAGUCUAAUGAUGACAUUUAGUAGAAAUUAUAACAUUCAGUAGUCAAUGAUAACAAUUGGUAGAUACCAAUGAUGGUAUCUUGGUACUUUCUUCGUUCAUUGAUGUUCACCUACAUCAUUAAUGAGGUCAAUUUAAUAACAUCAUCUUAUCACAUUGACUACCAGUUCAUGAUAUAUCAAACAAACAGCCUGCCUGGAUGGAAAAUAAUACUUUCAAGAUAGUUCAUGCUGUAUUUAAUCAAGAUAUGUCCAUAUUUUGUAUCAGACAGUAUUUUGACAUAACGGAUAUUUUACUUUUGUUGUUGAAUAUCAGAUCGUUUUUGUCUUUAGUGAUAAUGAUGGUAUUAGAUACUUAAUAGUUUUGUACAUUUCUAAAAUCAUGUUUAAGCGAAGGUCAUAAAUAUGUCCACAAUUAUAAUAAUGAUAUUAGACCUCUAACUUAUACUCUGUAUUAUAGUUUAGUUUCUUUUAUUCUCUUUUUAAUAGUUUGUCCGUGAUUGACAAAAAAGAUAACAUGAUGUUAUUUUCUAUCAAGUAUUUUUUUAUGUGUAAAAUAGUUCGUGAUGUGUCAUCUUCUGAUUAUAACUUUUUCUUAUUGUAUUAAUCAUGCAUCUCUCUUUCUCUCUCUCUCUCUCUCUUGUUAACACACAUGUAAAUGCAUUCAUUAAUGCCCAAAUAAGUCCUACAUUGUAUAUAUAGUAUUUCCUUCCUAAUUAGUAUAAAACAUUUUGUUGGCACACAUAUCCAAGUGCUUUCCAAACAUCAAAUUCAGGUUAUUAUUCUUUGUAUGUUUCAAUGCAUUGUUUAUAACAUUUUUGUGAGUGUCUUUUAUCGACAUUAUCAAAUAAUCGUAAGGAUUUUAUACCUUAUUUUAGCUACUACUUAUGUUCAUUAAACUAUUCAAUCGCUCAAUAAUUUUUACAGUGAAAAAUAUUCAAAAUUAUCAAUGAAAAAUAAGAUAUGUUUGCAUGUAAAUAAUAUAUUUACUAAUUCUGUUCUAAAAUAUUUUGUUCUGAUUUUUCUGAUCAUAUGCCGAUUUGUAGCAUUAACAAAGGCAAUGCCAUUAUUUCUAGUAAAGCAAAUAGAAAAGUGUUUAGACGUGUAAUUACUGAUGUAAGAAUGAAUAACUUUAGACAAGAUUUACAUAACCCAGAUUGGUCUACUUUGUAUGAUUUGUUUGACGCUAAUGUGUCAUUUAACUAUUUUAGUGACCUUUUUUCUAAGUUAUAUAAUGAACAUUUCCCUUUAAUUAAAUGUAGUGGUAAGAAUAAAUGCAGGAAACCAUGGAUCACUCCAGUUCUUCUAAAACCCAUUCAUGAAAAACAUAAGCUUUAUUAUGCACAUACAAAAAAUAAAAGUGAGAUUAAUCGGAAAAAAGUAUAUUGAUUACAAAAAUAUAUUUACAAAUCUUGUUCGUCAAAGUAAGAAAAAUUAUUAUGAUAAUGUUUUUCGAACAAAACAAAAUGAUAUGAGAAAGACUUGGUCACAUAUCAAUGCAUUGCUGGGGAGGGGGAAGAAAAUGCCACUCCCAAAUGACAUGUAUCAUAACGAAUUAUUGUUAAAUUCGGAUUUACAUAAAGCAGAAUAUUUCAAUAAAUAUUUUAUUGAUCUACCUUCUAAAAUAAGCAAGUAAAUUCCUCCUGUCCAAACAUCAUACAAAGAUUUUAUGUCCGUCCAAAAUCACUCCUGAUCCUUGUAUUUUCGACCAACAUCUGUUCGUGAAAUUUCUAAUUUGGUUUCGACUUUAAAACCAUCGAAGGCAUGUGGGUCAGAUGAUAUUUCUCCCAAGGUAAUAAAAAUUUGUAUUCAAUGCAUUGUUGAUCCCUUGUGCGAUAUUUUUAAUAAGUCUUUGUUUCACGGUAUUGUCCCUGACAAACUGAAAUAUGUGUGCGUGAGGGUGUGUGUGUGUGUGUGUAUUUUUGUAUGUAUUUUUCUUAUUUACUCUCUAGAUAAUAAUAAUAAUAAUAAUAAUAAACAGUUCUUGUAUAGCGCAUAUCACGAUUAUGAAUAAUGUCUCUAUGCGCUUCCAAAGGACUUGGAUAUUAUUACCCCAACUGUAGCUUGGCAGCCGUAAUUACUAAGAUUACAGCGCACACGCAUUUCAAGGAAUAAAUUCCUGCCAGGUACCCAUUCACCUCACCUGGGUUGAGUGCAGCACAAUGUGGAUAUAUUAUCAUUGUAUAUAUUUUUCAUCUCAUUCUUGCUGUACUGUAUUGUAUAAGGGGCCCCUCUCACAAGCUCUGCUUCUAUGUGGUCCCAAACCUAUCAUGUAUUCUCAUUUCUUGUUAAACUAUGUAAUAUGUCUCUUGUUUUGAUUGGUUUAAAUAAACUUGAACUUGAA